rnacentral:tRNA from 1 species
GCCCCGGUAGCUCAGCCUGGUGGAGCGCCUCACUGGUAUUGAGGAGGUCCCGGGUUCAGGGGAACCCGCCCAGGAAU